rfam:Myotis davidii contig22057, whole genome shotgun sequence.
GGUGGUUCUCGGGUGAUGCACACCGGAAUUGGGCUCCCUCCUCUCUGGUUCCAGGUGGAGCACGUGAGAACCGCA